UGGGGAAUUUUGGACAAUGGGCGAAAGCCUGAUCCAGCAAUGCCGCGUGUGUGAAGAAGGCCUUCGGGUUGUAAAGCACUUUUGUCCGGAAAGAAAUCCUUGGCUCUAAUACAGUCGGGGGAUGACGGUACCGGAAGAAUAAGCACCGGCUAACUACGUGCCAGCAGCCGCGGUAAUACGUAGGGUGCAAGCGUUAAUCGGAAUUACUGGGCGUAAAGCGUGCGCAGGCGGUUUGCUAAGACCGAUGUGAAAUCCCCGGGCUCAACCUGGGAACUGCAUUGGUGACUGGCAGGCUAGAGUAUGGCAGAGGGGGGUAGAAUUCCACGUGUAGCAGUGAAAUGCGUAGAGAUGUGGAGGAAUACCGAUGGCGAAGGCAGCCCCCUGGGCCAAAUACUGACGCUCAUGCACGAAAGCGUGGGGAGCAAAACAGGAUUAGAUACCCUGGUAGUCCACGCCCUAAAACGAUGUCAACUAGUUGUUGGGGAUUCAUUUCCUUAGUAACGUAGCUAACGCGUGAAGUUGACCGCCUGGGGAGUACGGUCGCAAGGAUUAAAAACUCAAAUGGAAUUGACGGGGUCAUAGCUGUUUCCU
rnacentral:rRNA from 1 species